rnacentral:lncRNA from 1 species
GAGGGGAACUUUUUUUUUAAUCAUUAGGCAUCCGCAGACGCCUUUAUACGUACUCCAAAAUGCUAGUAAGGAUGAAGAUGAACUCUCCUCAGCCCGUGUCUUUUAACUGUAGAAACUUUUCUGAGAAAUGAAAAGAGGCUUGCUCAUGACUUGGAAGCGGUGGGCUGAGGCCUCCCAAGACCAUCUGGCUUGUUCCAUUGCCAGCCAGAGUGGAGGCGACAUUCACACGAACCCAGGAGCUGCAGGGGCGCGUGAGCUACAGCUGCCUUGUGGCAUCCAAGGAGUGCGCAGUGAGAUUCCGCAGGAGAAAUCACGCUUUGCAUGUUCUUGAGUACAAGAAACAUGUGUAAUGAGGGUUUUUGUUUGCGGGCAUGCCAAGGAGAACGACUGGAAUAUUAAAGUCAUCACAGCCUUUAUUUAAG